GUGCUUGCUUCGGCAGCACAUACACUAAAAUUGGAAUGAUACGGAGAUGAUUAGCAUGGCCCCUGGGCAAAGAUGACAUCCAAAUUUGUGAAUUUGAUGGGCUAUAG